rnacentral:rRNA from 1 species
GAUGAACGCUGGCGGCGUGCUUAACACAUGCAAGUCGAACGGUGAAGGCGGAGCUUGCUCUGCUGGAUCAGUGGCGAACGGGUGAGUAACACGUGAGCAAUCUGCCCCUGACUCUGGGAUAAGCGCUGGAAACGGCGUCUAAUACUGGAUACGAGCUGCGAAGGCAUCUUCAGCAGCUGGAAAGAAUUUCGGUCAGGGAUGAGCUCGCGGCCUAUCAGCUUGUUGGUGAGGUAAUGGCUCACCAAGGCGUCGACGGGUAGCCGGCCUGAGAGGGUGACCAGCCACACUGGGACUGAGACACGGCCCAGACUCCUACGGGAGGCAGCAGUGGGGAAUAUUGCACAAUGGGCGAAAGCCUGAUGCAGCAACGCCGCGUGAGGGACGACGGCCCUCGGGUUGUAAACCUCUUUUAGCAGGGAAGAAGCGAAAGUGACGGUACCUGCAGAAAAAGCGCCGGCUAACUACGUG